GGCUUCGUAGCUCAGCUGGUAGAGCAUGUUUCGCGUUUGAGCAUGUUGUUUCUAUCGCUGGUUCGAAUUCAGCCGAAGUCC